rnacentral:rRNA from 1 species
GACGAACGCUGGCGGCGUGCUUAACACAUGCAAGUCGAACGGAAAGGCCCUGCUUUUGUGGGGUGCUCGAUUGGCGAACGGGUGAGUAACACGUGAGUAACCUGCCCUUGACUUUGGGAUAACUUCAGGAAACUGGGGCUAAUACCGGAUAUGAUCUCCUGCUGCAUGGUGGUGGUUGGAAAGUUUCGGCGGUUGGGGAUGGACUCGCGGCUUAUCAGCUUGUUGGUGGGGUAGUGGCUUACCAAGGCUUUGACGGGUAGCCGGCCUGAGAGGGUGACCGGCCACAUUGGGACUGAGAUACGGACCAGAAUCCUACGGGAGGCAGCAGUGGGGAAUAUUGCACAAUGGGCGGAAGCCUGAUGCAGCAACGCCGCGUGCGGGAUGACGGCCUUCGGGUUGUAAACAGCUUUCGCCUGUGACGAAGAGUGAGUGACGGUAAUGGGUAAAGAAGCACCGGCUAACUACGUG